GAUGAAGAACGUAGCGAAAUGCGAUAAGUAAUGUGAAUUGCAGAAUUUAGUGAAUCAUCGAAUCUUUGAACGCAUAUUGCGCCCGCCAGCACUCUGGCGGGCAUGUCUGUUCGAGCGUCAUUUCAACCCUCAGGCCUCGCGUCUGGCGUUGGGGCGCUGCGGCCCUCCCGCAGGCCCCCAAAUUUAGCGGCGGAUUCCCCGCGGCCCUGAGCGCAGUAGAGAGUAAAAACUUUAACGCUCCGGCGGCCGUGGCGCGGUUCUGCCUCUUUCCCAAUAGCGCCAAUAGCGCCACCCCCAAAAAAGUUGACCUCGGAUCAGGUAGGACUACCCGCUGAACUUAAGCAUAUCAAUAAGCGGAGGA
rnacentral:misc_RNA from 1 species